AGCGGCGGACGGGUGAGUAACGCGUGGGUAACCUGCCUCAUACAGGGGGAUAACAGUUGGAAACGGCUGCUAAUACCGCAUAAGCGCACAGUACCGCACGGUACGGUGUGAAAAACUCCGGUGGUAUGAGAUGGACCCGCGUCUGAUUAGGUAGUUGGUGGGGUAACGGCCUACCAAGCCGACGAUCAGUAGCCGACCUGAGAGGGUGACCGGCCACAUUGGGACUGAGACACGGCCCAG
rnacentral:rRNA from 1 species